GGACGGGUGAGUAACACGUGGAUAACCUACCUAUAAGACUGGGAUAACUUCGGGAAACCGGAGCUAAUACCGGAUAAUAUAUUGAACCGCAUGGUUCAAUAGUGAAAGACGGUUUUGCUGUCACUUAUAGAUGGAUCCGCGCCGCAUUGGCUAGUUGGUAAGGUAACGGCUUACCAAGGCAACGAUGCGUAGCCGACCUGAGAGGGUGAUCGGCCACACUGGAACUGAGACACGGUCCAG
rnacentral:rRNA from 1 species